rnacentral:rRNA from 1 species
UGGGGAAUAUUGGACAAUGGGCGAAAGCCUGAUCCAGCAAUGCCGCGUGAGUGAUGAAGGCCUUCGGGUUGUAAAGCUCUUUCGCACGCGACGAUAAUGACGGUAGCGUGAGAAGAAGCCCCGGCUAACUUCGUGCCAGCAGCCGCGGUAAUACGAAGGGGGCUAGCGUUGUUCGGAAUUAUUGGGCGUAAAGGGCGCGUAGGCGGUUUUUUAAGUCAGAUGUGUAAUCCCCGAGCUCAACUUGGGAACUGCAUCUGAGACUGGAAGGCUAGAGUACUGGAGAGGGUGGUGGAAUUCCUCGUGUAGCGGUGAAAUGCGUAGAGAUGUGGAGGAAUACCAAUGGCGAAGGCAGCCCCCUGGGAUAAUAUUGACGCUCAUGCACGAAAGCGUGGGGAGCAAACAGG